GAUGAACGCUAGCGGCAGGCCUAAUACAUGCAAGUCGAACGGUAAGUGUAGUAGCAAUAUUAUACGAGAGUGACGUACGGGUGCGUAACACGUAUGCAACCUACCCUUUACAGGAGGAUAGCUCGGGGAAACUCGAAUUAACCCUCCAUAACAUAUUGGUGUGGCAUCACAUUAAUAUUAAAACUCCGGUGGUAAAGGAUGGGCAUGCGUCUGAUUAGUUAGUUGGUGCGGGUAACGGCCCACCAAGACGAUGAUCAGUAGGGGAACUGAGAGGUUGAUCCCCCACACUGGCACUGAGAUACGGGCCAGACUCCUACGGGAGGCUG
rnacentral:rRNA from 1 species